rnacentral:tRNA from 1 species
AGUGCUGUCGUCUAAUUGGAUAGGAUACCUACCGAUUAUAGAUAUUCUUAUUAAAGUAGGAGAUUGAGGUUCAAGUCCUCACGGUGCUACCA